GAUGAAGAACGCAGCGAAAUGCGAUAAGUAAUAUGAAUUGCAGAAUUCAGUGAAUCAUCGAGUCUUUGAACGCACAUUGCGCCCCCUGGUAUUCCGGGGGGCAUGCCUGUCCGAGCGUCAUUGCUGCCCUCAAGCACGGCUUGUGUGUUGGGCCGUCGUCCCCCUCCUAGGGGACGGGCCCGAAAGGCAGCGGCGGCACCGCGUCCGGUCCUCGAGCGUAUGGGGCUUCGUCACCCGCUCCGUAGGCCCGGCCGGCGCUUGCCGACGACCAUCAAUCUCUUUCUCCAGGUUGACCUCGGAUCAGGUAGGGAUACCCGCUGAACUUAAGCAUAUCAAUAAGCGGAGGA
rnacentral:misc_RNA from 1 species